rnacentral:rRNA from 1 species
GCUAAUACCGCAUAACGUCUACGGACCAAAGAGGGGGACCUUCGGGCCUCUCGCUUCAGGAUAUGCCCAGGUGGGAUUAGCUAGUUGGUGAGGUAAUGGCUCACCAAGGCGACGAUCCCUAGCUGGUCUGAGAGGAUGAUCAGCCACACUGGAACUGAGACACGGUCCAGACUCCUACGGGAGGCAGCAGUGGGGAAUAUUGCACAAUGGGCGCAAGCCUGAUGCAGCCAUGCCGCGUGUAUGAAGAAGGCCUUCGGGUUGUAAAGUACUUUCAGUCGUGAGGAAGGCGUUGGAGUUAAUAGCUUCAUCGUUUGACGUUAGCGACAGAAGAAGCACCGGCUAACUCCGUGCCAGCAGCCGCGGUAAUACGGAGGGUGCGAGCGUUAAUCGGAAUUACUGGGCGUAAAGCGCAUGCAGGUGGUUUGUUAAGUCAGAUGUGAAAGCCCGGGGCUCAACCUCGGAACCGCAUUUGAAACUGGCAGGCUAGAGUACUGUAGAGGGGGGUAGAAUUUCAGGUGUAGCGGUGAAAUGCGUAGAGAUCUGAAGGAAUACCAGUGGCGAAGGCGGCCCCCUGGA